UCACCUAUUCUAUACCAACCGAAACUCAUUGAUAUGUUAUAACCAAUGCAAGCUUAUACAAUUAUUGGACAGACGCAUGGUGGGAACAGUCAUCACCACUUUCAUUUGUAGUUGAUAUUUUGUUCAUAGUUGUCGCCGCAGUCAGGCACGUUGUGAAAGGUGAGAUAGAUUUUUAAGAAUUGGCCAACCGUUGAAAUUAUUUCAUUUAAGAAUGAAAGAUGUUGACGUCGAUCCAGAAAUGUAUCAUUAUGCACUGGAUUAUUACUAUACUAAGGAAAUGAACGCAAUAAAGGAAUAUUUCAUUGUGUAAUAGAUUGGACUGGCUUUCAAUUGGUUAUUACUAGACCCUCAACGAGAAUGUUGCCACGAUAAGAUCAUGCUUCAACAUCGUUCCAUCCUCCAUGAUUACUGGAUUUUUAUUGGAUAAGAACGGAUGUUAUUUGUAUAAAAAUAGGAAAGAAAAACAUCUUAGAAAUCAAGAAUAUCAUUCGAUAAUAUGUAUUCGUCAGUUAGUCGAUGGUUUCUCAUCCGAAAGAUUCAUUAUGCACGUAAAGAUUGAGAAAGACAAGAGAACUAUUCAAGAGAUCAUCUGAAGGGAUAUCGAAGAAUAUAGCUGCAGUAAAUAUGUAUAGAUGAAAGAGAGUAAAUUUAUCUAUCGAAUCUGCUAGUCUAAUAACAGUCGUGAAGGAGGAGAAAAGUAGUUUAUUACAAAUAAUACUUAAGAAGAAUGGAGACUGAAAAUUUUGUGGAAACCAAUGAACGAUCGUUGAUGAAAGAAGAAUAAGAUGCGGACCACGUUUUUGUAUUAAUCUUGCUAUAGCAAUCUAUCUUCACACGUACGUUUAUCUAUUCAAUGGUCGAAUUUAGCGAUAGACGCUUUGGUAAGUAAAUGUAUCGUUGAAUAGUAUAAAUAUGAGGAUGCCUGAAAAACAAAAUAAUCAUCUUAGGGAUCCGUCAAUUAAAGUUUUUGUACUUCCAGUUUCCAAGCUUUUUAUGAAAAAGAACAAAAAAUCCAGAUGCUAAAGCAUCAUCGAAGAUUCUAGAGAGUGAUAUUUAUAAUAACGAUAGUAAGAAGCGUAAACCAAAGCAGUGGCUUAUUUGAGAUUUUUAUUUGGCGAUAAUUUGAACGGUUGGAACGAAUAAGUGAUUAAAUUUAUUGCAAUACUGAUUUCAGAUUUUUCAUUAACUAAAUACUUAUUAUAUUAUGAACAAAAGCUCGAUCACUGAAUCUAAUGUUUAUAGCAUUAAAUGGCGAGACAAUUUUCAUUAGCGAACUGGAUAUUUUUUUUUCGAAGGAUAUGCCGAUUGUUUAUUUCGACAAAAUUUACGUGUAGUCGAGUUAAAAGAAGAAAACGGAUAGAUGAUUACCGGAUUGUAUUCUCGAAUGUCUGAAGGAGGAAUGAAUUAAAGAGUCAGCUGAAUCAAUUA